GACGAACGCUGGCGGCGUGCUUAACACAUGCAAGUCGAACGGUGAAGCGCCUUCCUUUUUGGUGGGUGUGGAUGAGUGGCGAACGGGUGAGUAACACGUGAGUAACCUGCCCCCUUCUUCUGGAUAACCGCAUGAAAGUGUGGCUAAUACGGGAUAUUCUGGUUCUGUCGCAUGAUGGGUCUGGGAAAGAUAUUGUUUCGGUGGGGGAUGGGCUCGCGGCCUAUGAGCUUGUUGGUGGGGUGAUGGCCUACCAAGGCGGUGACGGGUAGCCGGCCUGAGAGGGUGGACGGUCACACUGGGACUGAGACACGGCCCAGACUCCUACGGGAGGCAGCAGUGGGGAAUAUUGCACAAUGGGCGCAAGCCUGAUGCAGCGACGCCGCGUGAGGGAUGGAGGCCUUCGGGUUGUGAACCUCUUUCGCCAGUGAAGCAGGCCUGCCUCGUUUGUGGGUGGGUUGACGGUAGCUGGAGAAGAAGCGCCGGCUAACUACGUG
rnacentral:rRNA from 1 species